rnacentral:tRNA from 1 species
GCCUGGAUAGCUCAGUUGGUUAGAGCGUGGUGCUGGUAACGCCAAAGUUGCAGGUUCGAUCCCCAUAAGAGACUUGGGAGCA